UGGGGGAUAUUGCACAAUGGGGGAAACCCUGAUGCAGCGACGCCGCGUGAGUGAAGAAGUAUUUCGGUAUGUAAAGCUCUAUCAGCAGGGAAGAAGAUGACAGUACCUGACUAAGAAGCCCCGGCUAACUACGUGCC
rnacentral:rRNA from 1 species